UACGAGGGGGGCAAGCGUUGUUCGGAAUUACUGGGCGUAAAGGGCGCGUAGGCGGCGUGGUAAGUCACUUGUGAAAUCUCUGAGCUUAACUCAGAACGGUCAAGUGAUACUGCUGUGCUAGAGUGCGGAAGGGGCAAUCGGAAUUCUUGGUGUAGCGGUGAAAUGCGUAGAUAUCAAGAGGAACACCUGAGGUGAAGACGGGUUGCUGGGCCGACACUGACGCUGAUGCGCGAAAGCCAGGGGAGCAAACGGG
rnacentral:rRNA from 1 species